rnacentral:tRNA from 1 species
UGGGGUGUAGCUCAAUUGGCAGAGCGCCUGGCUGUUAACCAGGAGGUUGGUGGUUCGAGUCCACCCGCCCCAG